CCAGCACCCCGAGUGGUCGGGACGAUUAUUGGGCCUAAAGCAUCCGUAGCCGGUUUUACAAGUCCUCCGUUAAAUCCAACUGCUUAACAGAUGGGCCGCGGAGGAUACUAUAAGACUAGGAGGCAGGAGAGGCAAGCGGUACUCAGUGGGUAGGGGUAAAAUCCGUCGAUCCAUUGAGGACCACCAGUGGCGAAGGCGGCUUGCCAGAAUGCGCUCGACGGUGAGGGAUGAAAGCUGGGGGAGCAAACCGGAUUAGAUACCCGGGGUAGUCCCAGCUGUAAACGAUGCAGACUCGGUGAUGGACCAGCUUCAUGCUAGUCCAGUGCCGCAGGGAAGCCGUUAAGUCUGCCGCCUGGGUAGUACGGUCGCAAGACUG
rnacentral:rRNA from 1 species